UCCGUGGUUGACGCGGCAUGCCUUGUGGACAAAAAAAGCUUGCUCAACGACAGACGUCACCAUGUAAGCCAUCAUGUAGAGCCACAUGGUGGGCUCCACGGACACGUACAUCACCCAUCCGAAGUAUUUCUCUAGGAUUCCAUGUGGACGAUGCUCUCUAACAUCGGGCUGAAACAGAAACAUCGUAAAUGGGCUCACUGUGGAGAUAACAAAGAGAAUUUAGUGAACGAGAAGUUGGAGACCUACCUCUGACGAAAUGCUGCCAGAAAGAUGAGGCAGAACAGCCUGUCAGGAAAUUGUUGUUCGAGUUUCGAAAGAAGAUCGAAUUCACCCAAACGAAUCGUUUGAUCAGCAGAUGCUGAAGGUCCAGAGCGGUCCGUUUCACCCGACCCGCCCCUAAUUAAUUUCAGAGUUGUAGCAACAAGUUGGGUAUACCCGACGCUGAACGACCGUAGAUCCACAUAUUUCAUGUGGGAGAAGUAAGUUCGGGGUAACCUCCCGAGACCCUUCUGUGAAAUCUUUGUUAAUUAUGCAGUUCUCUCAGAAACGAGGGUUUUCAGGAUGAGACGUUGAAACAGCUCUUUCUAUGCCAGGAAAAUUCUAGACUGGAAAGGCCGCUUUAUAAUUUAACCUGGCAUUACGUAUUUCUGAG